GGCUGAUGUGGGGUCACCCUGGCCUCCCAUCUCUGCUUCCCCAAAAUCCAUCACCAGCCACAUAGACGGACGCAUAGCCUUGUCUCUGCCCACGUUCUCCCUGGGGGUCAAGAAAGGCCAUGUGCGCCUGUCAAAUGCAGAAACCAUCACGUCCUCACCAUAUCCUGUAUCCAAAUUAGCUUCAUUUGUGCAAAUGCUCCAUGAUCGUCGGGACUCACAGGUCUGUGUUUCCAUCCACUUUAUUCUCCUGGUUCUAUUCCUACCUCGGAUCACCUCCUGCUCCGUUUGUUCCUAGUGUCUCUACCUGUUCAUCAGGGGUUUGAUGUU